AGCUGCGGCAGCCUACACAUGCAAGUCGUACGGAGAGUGGGGCAACUCACUCUCAGUGGCAAACGGGUGAGUAACGCGUGAAUACCCUGCCUUUGAGAAGGGGAUAACUGUCCGAAAGGAUAGCUAAUACCCUAUAUUGCCUUUUGUCACUAAGACAAAAGGUGAAAGCGAGGCUGUCAAGGCUUCGGCUCAAAGAGGGGUUCGCGUCCUAUCAGGUAGUUGGUGGGGUAAUGGCCUACCAAGCCAAUGACGGGUAGCUGGUCUUAGAGGAUGAUCAGCCACAGUGGGACUGAGACACGGCCCGCACCCCUACGGGGGGCAGCAGUGGGGAAUCGUGGGCAAUGGGCGCAAGCCUGACCCCGCAAUGCCGCGUGAGGGAAGAAGCCCUUCGGGGUGUAAACCUCUGUCAGAUGGGAAGAUGAAACUAGGGGCUAAUACCUCCUGGUCUUGACGGUACCAUCAGAGGAAGGGACGGCUAACUACGUGCCAGCAGCCGCGGUAAU
rnacentral:rRNA from 1 species